rnacentral:rRNA from 1 species
GACGAACGCUGGCGGCGUGCUUAACACAUGCAAGUCGAACGCUCAAGCUUGGUGCUUGCACUGUGUGGAUGAGUGGCGCACGGGUGAGUAACACGUGAGUAACCUGCCUUUGACUCUGGGAUAAGCCUGGGAAACUGGGUCUAAUACCGGAUAUGACAUCCCACUGCAUGGUUGUGUGUGGAAAGGGUUUUAGUGGUUUUGGAUUGGCUCACGGCCUAUCAGCUUUUUGGUGGGGUAAUGGCCUACCUUGGCAACGACGGGUAGCCGGCCUGAGAGGGUGGCCAGCGUCACUGGGACUGAGAGAGGGCCCAGAAUCCAAUGGGAGGCAGUGGUGGGGAGUAUUGCACAAUGGGCGGAAGCCAGAUGUGGCGACGCCGGGUGAGGAAUGACGGCCUUCGGGUUGUAAACCACUUUCUGAACAGAAGAGGCGAGAGUGACGGUACCUGAAGAAGAAGCGCCGGCUAACUACGUG